CUGGUUCCUACCUUCUGACGAACCAUCAUGUCAUUAAUUUGGUGUGGUGGGGAAUCAGGACUGUUACUUUGAAAAAAUUAGAGUGUUUAAAGCAGGCUCGCGCUUGAAUACAUUAGCAUGGAAUAAUGAAAUAGGACGUUGAUCCUAUUUUGUUGGUUUCUAGGAUUGACGUAAUGAUUAAUAGGGAUAGUUGGGA
rnacentral:rRNA from 1 species